AUACGGAGGAUCCAAGCGUUAUCCGGAAUCAUUGGGUUUAAAGGGUCCGUAGGCGGGUUUGUAAGUCAGUGGUGAAAGUUUUCGGCUCAACCGGAAAAUUGCCAUUGAUACUGCAAGUCUUGAAUCAUAAUGAAGUGGUUAGAAUGUGUAGUGUAGCGGUGAAAUGCAUAGAUAUUACACAGAAUACGGAUUGCGAAGGCAGAUCACUAAUAAUGUAUUGACGCUAAGGGACGAAAGCGUGGGUAGCGAACAGAAUUAGAAACCCGAGUAGUCC
rnacentral:rRNA from 1 species